ensembl:lncRNA
CAGUGAAGUCUGUUUAGUGUGUUCAUUGUCAAGUCCAAUGCCUAAUGUGUGUCCUUUCACAGCCGAACCUACACACCCAGGGGCUGGCGCGCACACACUCCUCUUCCUCCCUGCCAGGUAACACACCCACACACUGCACGGACCGUUGCGUGCACUAUGUAUAAGGAGACGUCCACGUUUCAUUCUCGUAUCUUGGGCAUGCGCUUCUUACGUUUCUCUCCAGAUGCCCCACCAACAGCAACAGUGUUGAUCGUUUGCAUGUUUCAGACUUCGCAGGGGUUAGUGUGGCUCAGGUGACCCGAGGCUCCUCCCCUGGGCUGGGCGGAGACUAUUACCUCGAUCCCGAUGCCGCCAUGCCAGUGCGCCCCCUCCGAUCCCAGUCCUUCCACACCUCAGAUUACACAGCAGCACCUCCAGGACAGGUGACACAUGGCUCCUCCCCUGGGGUGGGCGAAGACCUCUAUCAUGACCCCGACGCCAGAUCACCUGUCCGCCCCUUUCGCUCCCAGUCCUUCCACACCUCAGGUACUCAUAUCUGCUAUCAUUCCAUCCCAUAUCUAUCUAGAGAGCGACAGGUAGAGGCUGGUCGACUGGCUGUAG